UACGGAGGGUGCAAGCGUUAUCCGGAUUUACUGGGUUUAAAGGGUGCGUAGGUGGGUCUGUAAGUCAGUGGUGAAAUCUCCGAGCUUAACUCGGAAACUGCCAUUGAUACUAUAGGUCUUGAAUUAUCUGGAGGUGAGCGGAAUAUGUCAUGUAGCGGUGAAAUGCUUAGAUAUGACAUAGAACACCAAUUGCGAAGGCAGCUCACUACGGAUUGAUUGACACUGAGGCACGAAAGCGUGGGGAUCAAACAGG
rnacentral:rRNA from 1 species